GCUAGUAUGGUGUAGUGGUUAGCAUGCUUGCUCGAGAAAGUCAUGUGAUAUUAUUGGAUUUAUUUUUGAGGUCCUGGGUUCAAUUCCCGGAAUUGCCC